GAUUUACAGCUACAAAGGAUCUCAGGGAUUGUCCACUCCAGGUGUCUAAUUUUACAGAAGAUGAAAUUCAGUCCCAGGGAGGAAGGGAGUCACAGAAAAUCACAUGAGGCUGAACCUGGAUCCUCCAGCUCAGAACCAGUAUUCGUUCAACUAUGCCAUCCUUCCCUCGAUCAGACUGAGGUCCCAUCCCAACUCUGAGGGGACAGUUACGAGAAAACUUGGCUGCCCUGCCUCAUCUGGAAAUCAUCGUUGGAUAAGCAUCUCUCUGGGGAUAAAACGUCAGUGUGUCCAGAAUCUGUGCCUUCAUUGAUGUGAACAUUCCCCCCAUUUCUACAAAUGGCCUUUGACACCCCUGGAGAAUUGUUGUGGCCAAAAAACUCAUCUUUCUGUGGACAGCUCUGGAGUGGGCUAGACUGAAGAUCAAAUCACAGAAUUCCAUCUCUCCCUGACCUAGAACAUUUCUGUGAGAAGGGACUCACAAAACCUCAGAUUCGAAGUUGGUUUAAGCCUCCUUGGCCUCCACGUCAAGACCAAGCCUGGGGAAAAACUCCAAUAUGAGAACUUUAGCCCCUCCCAAGGCAGCCUGUUCCAUUUUUGCAUAGCUCAACUUGUUGGCAAAGCUUGUAGACAUUGAACCUAAGUUUUCCUCUUGGGAAGUUCUUUCAUUCCUUCCCCACUCUGGGACCAAAGAGAACCAGUUGAAUCCCUCCUCCACAUGGCAGCCUUUCAAUUGCUAUGACAUCUCCCCCACUCACCCCAGGCUUCUCUUCUCUUCUCUAGCCCCCCACACCUCCCAGAGGGCUUCCGAUGCUAUGGUCUUGAGGCCAUUCGUCAUUCUGGUCACCACACUCUUGACAUGCUCUGGUUGUCCACUUCCUUCCUAAAGAGAGACGUUUGUUCAGGAGCGGGUGAAAGAGUCUUCGUGGAAUGGGACAGAGUACCAACUUCUGGGGCGACGUGGAGAGGCCUCAUGGAGGAGGAAGCAGCUGAGCUGAGUCACAAAGGAACGAAGGGAUGCCAAGAGGCAGAGGGGAGGGGAAAAGGCACUCCUGGCAUGGGGAGAGAAACACGGAAAAGGAUGGAGACAGGCGAUGGGACAGAAGGUGUGGGUUGGACUAGCUCUCUGCUGAGACCGCUUUCCCCUCGGAGCUUCUCUGGUUCUUCCAUUUCUGAGGAAUCCCUGCAGCGAUCAUCGACACUGACAUUUCAGGAGUGGGCUGUGAUACCCAGACACACAUUCUAUGAUCAUAAAAGCCUUCUUAGUCAACCUAAGUGGCACCCAUGACCUGCUGCGUGCAGAGGGUAAAAUUAAACCCUGAAUAGAAUUUAAACACUGGCUCUAAUUAUAGUGAAAACGCUUUCCUAAGAUGCUGAAGUCAGUUGCACAUUUUGUUUCCAAAUACAUAAAGUCCUGGAAAAGUAUCCAAAAGAAAGCUGGGAGGAGAGAGGAGAAGAGAGUGGGAGCAUGCUGGCAAAAGGAAGAAUAGAAGGCACAAUGCGAUCGCAGUUUUAAUUCCUCUCUGAAAUGAAACAUUUCGAGCCAACAUUUGG
ensembl:lncRNA